GACGAACGCUGGCGGCGUGCUUAACACAUGCAAGUCGAGCGAUGAAAUUCCUUCGGGAAUGGAUUAGCGGCGGACGGGUGAGUAACACGUGGGUAACCUGCCUCAUAGAGGGGAAUAGCCUUCCGAAAGGAAGAUUCAUACCGCAUAAGAUUGUAGUAUCGCAUGAUACAGCAAUUAAAGGAGUAAUCCGCUAUGAGAUGGACCCGCGUCGCAUUAGCUAGUUGGUGAGGUAACGGCUCACCAAGGCGACGAUGCGUAGCCGACCUGAGAGGGUGAUCGGCCACAUUGGGACUGAGACACGGCCCAGACUCCUACGGGAGGCAGCAGUGGGGAAUAUUGCACAAUGGGGGAAACCCUGAUGCAGCAACGCCGCGUGAGUGAUGACGGUCUUCGGAUUGUAAAGCUCUGUCUUCAGGGACGAUAAUGACGGUACCUGAGGAGGAAGCCACGGCUAACUACGUGCCAGCCGCCGCAGUAACAC
rnacentral:rRNA from 1 species